rnacentral:tRNA from 1 species
GGGGCCGUAGCUCAGUUGGGAGAGCGCCUGCCUUGCACGCAGGAGGUCAGGAGUUCGAUCCUCCUCGGCUCCACCA